GCCCGGGUGGUGAAAUUGGCAGACACGAAGGAUUUAGGUUCCUUUGCCGAGAGGCGUGCAGGUUCAAGUCCUGUCCCGGGCACCA
rnacentral:tRNA from 1 species